CGAACAUAUUACGUUUAAACACAGGUUUUCCUACGAUCACUGAAGUUAAGUAACGCCGAGUCUGGUCAGUACCUUGAUGAGUGACUGCUUGGAAAUAUCAGGUGUUGUAAG